UGCCUUAUAACUGUUUGUUGUUUCAUGGU
rnacentral:piRNA from 1 species